GAGCAAGGCCUUAUGGGAAGGGUGCUACCAGCCUGACUUCCGGGUCCCCUCUUUAUCUGCCGCCUGGGGAAGACCAGGCCUGUUCCAUAUCUGUCUCUUUCCCACCCUGCUCCUCAGAAGGCCAAGGUUGGAUCUCUCUGCACUCUCACGGACCACAGUGUGCCUGUGUCUGUGUAGAGCCUGUGGUCUUAUGUCAGGUCUUGUGUUAACCCAAAGCACUAGUUUCUAAUUUCAGAUGCUGAGGUCAGUGGGGGUGGGGAGGAGAAAGGCGGCUUUGGGUGGGAAGGGUAUCUGAGUGUCUCAAAGCUGCGGUUCUCAGGCACGGACUUGCAGACCUGCUAGAGAGUCAGGGUAGCUUGAAGAAUAUUCGAGGAUUCCUGUACUCUUCAGCUCCCAUGCCCAGUCAAGUCAUGCCUCGAGUUCCUACAUGAGGCCCGUGUCCAUGCCUUAGUGUGCUCUUUGGGUGGUCUUUCAGCAGCUAUGAGAGUCCUUGGUGUGAGAGCGCUCCUGCGAAGCCGAGAUGGUGGCUCUGUCAGUGCUGACUGUCUGAACCAUGGACCAACACCGCUCACACCCUGUCUGGUGCUGUCAUAGGUUGCAGUUGGCUGCAUACUCGCCACAGCCCUGUGCCGGGCAGAGAACCAAGAAGGAAGCUUGGGCGUAAGAGGACGGAAACUGCCAACUAGUGUGACAAAGAUCUAAACCGCCCACGUGGUCUGUAAUCCUCUGCCUGCCCCGCCUCCCCCACCCAUGACCUCAGCCUGAGAACAGCUUGGACUUGUGCUCUUCAAGGUCUGACUCGGUCAGCCAUUUUCACAGGGAUGCAGAGGGGAGCCAGGGGCUCCAACCCUCUGCCUCCGACAGCAGUUGAUUGUGAAAUGCCCUGGCUAAUGUACACCAGCACAAGAAAAGGGAAUCUCUUUGGGGCUGCAAAUGCAGAGACUACAGCAGCCUUGAAGCAACUGUCUGUCUAUGGUUCUGUCCCUGGGCCAUACACGCGGUGUUUCUGGAAUCUACCCAGAGGCCUCUUCCUCCUUUAUUGAAGUCACACCUGUAGAGGCCUGGCCCUUUUUUCCCUUCCCAGUCCUGAGGGGGCACUGAGUGUCUAGAGCUGACCGUGCAGGACUGAGUAGGAGUAACAAUGUCUUAAGGUGUAGAAGAGCUGGACACAGUGAGAGCUGUCCUUGGUUUCCUGUCCAUGCAUGAGGUAACUGUCCUGCUGCCCUGCAGGCUGUGAAUCAAGUGAGCUAAAGAUAAGAUGGGAAUCAUACUCGGACAAGCAGACAGCAGCUUGCAAACCUGCGAUAACUGUGACAUCAUACUACAUGUUUCAGAGGUGAUCUGGCCUGUUCCAGGAAAGCUCAGAAUGACUCUAGCGUAAAUGCUCUCAAAAUGGCCAGCAGAGCCUCGAAGAGAUACUCAUAUUCUUAUGCUCCCAGCAACACUCUGCAUGACAGGAGGUAAAACUUAGACUUAGCAGUCUGUGUACAUCAGUGAGCAAAUGGGUACCACAGAGGACACCUGUCACACUUCCUUCAGCCGAAAGUUCUCAGCAUGCCAGGAGGUCAGGCUUCAGUGGCUUCACCUAACUUCGUAAGAAUUAGAUCUUGCCGGGGCCUUAGGGCUGCACACCUGUAAUCCCAGCACUCG
rnacentral:sRNA from 1 species